rnacentral:tRNA from 1 species
AUCUUUCUAAUAUAUUUUAGUAUUAGUGACUUCCAAUCACUCAGGCCUGGUUAAAAUCCAGGGAAAGGUA